ACCAGUCUCACGUGCACGCAUCGCUUACGAUCAUGAUUUAGUAGUUCGAAAUGUGUUGUUAUGCUAACAAAUCGUGGGAAUUGCGCUUUCUCUGCGAGCAGCUACCACACUGAAAAUCGACUUUCUCGAGAAACUGUUGACUCCAGAAAAGCUUUACGUGAUGCAGUUAUUAUACAAGACGGCAGAGAAUUCUUCAACCAUUGGGAAACAUGCAGAGGCAGUCAACGUUUAUAUUUGAAUUGGAUUUAACUGUAGUCGUGUGAUUUGAUAUAACAUUAUGUAACUGUUUCCAAAUGCUGCAAUGGAUGGG